UAAGCAUAUCAAUAAGCGGAGGAAAAGAAACUAACUAGGAUUCCCUUAGUAACGGCGAGUGAACCGGGAUGAGCUCAAAUUUGAAAUCUGGCGUCUUUCAGGCGUCCGAGUUGUAAUCUAUAGAGGCGUUUUCCGCGCCGGACCGCGUCCAAGUCUCUUGGAAUAGAGUAUCAAAGAGGGUGACAAUCCCGUACUUGACGCGACAACCGGUGCUCUGUGAUACGUUCUCAAUGAGUCGAGUUGUUUGGGAAUGCAGCUCUAAAUGGGUGGUAAAUUCCAUCUAAGGCUAAAUAUUGGCGAGAGACCGAUAGCGAACAAGUACCGUGAGGGAAAGAUGAAAAGCACUUUGGAAAGAGAGUUAAACAGCACGUGAAAUUGUUAAAAGGGAAACGAUUGAAGUCAGUCGUGUGGGAAGUAUUCAGCCGUCUCUGGCGGUGUAUUUGCUUCUCACGGGUCAACAUCAGUUUGAUCCGGUAGAAAAAGGCGGGAAGAAGGUGGCACCCUCGGGUGUGUUAUAGCUUCCUGUCAUAUGUGCCGGACCAGACUGAGGAACGCAGCUUGCAGCAAUGCCGGGGUUCGCCCACGUACAAGCUUAGGAUGUUGACAUAAUGGCUUUAAACGACCCGUCUUGAAACACGGACCAAGGAGUCUAACAUAUCUGCGAGUGUUUGGGUGUCAAA
rnacentral:rRNA from 1 species